UGUCAGACAGGAAUCUGAAUCCACUUAAUUAUUUAUUUAAUGUUUAUUUGACAGGGACAAAUGCAUAGAACAUUGCUUUAUAAAGAAUACAAAGUAGAUGCCAUGCAUACAGGUUUAUAGCCAUGACUAAUUUGCAA